UAGGGAAUCUUCCGCAAUGGGCGAAAGCCUGACGGAGCAACGCCGCGUGAGUGAUGAAGGUCUUCGGAUCGUAAAACUCUGUUAUUAGGGAAGAACAAAUGUGUAAGUAACUAUGCACAUCUUGACGGUACCUAAUCAGAAAGCCACGGCUAACUACGUGCCAGCAGCCGCGGUAAUACGUAGGUGGCAAGCGUUAUCCGGAAUUAUUGGGCGUAAAGCGCGCGUAGGCGGUUUUUUAAGUCUGAUGUGAAAGCCCACGGCUCAACCGUGGAGGGUCAUUGGAAACUGGAAAACUUGAGUGCAGAAGAGGAAAGUGGAAUUCCAUGUGUAGCGGUGAAAUGCGUAGAUAUAUGGAGGAACACCAGUGGCGAAGGCGACUCUCUGGUCUGUAACUGACGCUGAGGUUCGAAAGCGUGGGUAGCAAACAGG
rnacentral:rRNA from 1 species